AGGGGAUGGUGGUGGUGGGGGUGCGGGUGGGGGUAGGGAUACAAGAUGCAUCUCUUUGUGCCGGAGCCACAUGACUUUUUCUCUGGCCAGCAAAUCCUGAUCUCAGCCCAGUUCCUCCCAAUGUGAAUCCAGUUGAAUCCAGUUCUGUCUGAGAUGGAGGGGGCUGGGGCAGACGGGUACCCUAACUGCCACUCUGGAUACGUCGUUUCUCUUGCUUGCCAGCAGAGCUGUCCUAUCACUUUAAGUCAUGGCUGGCAGAGCAGGGAUACCCUGGCUCCCUUGGAAGCCUAUUCCUUGUGGAUUGCUCCUUUUUAAAAAGGCCAAUUAGUAGCAGAGGAGACAGUGUUGAGUGUGUCUGCUAGAGCAAGGGAAAGGAAGACAUAGAGCUACCACAGGUUGAGUGCCAGGGGGCGUUUCCUGGUGAAUCUUCCUGAAUGUCAGGCUCCUCUUGUUUUCUGUCUUUGGGCGUAGGUGGCCAGGGCAGGCCUCUCCACUACCUUAGCCACACAUGGUCCAUAUCAGCAUGGCCACACCAUAAGUGCCUUUGUGGGCUCUAGACUAAGAUCUGUGUACGGUGAAUUAAGGAAACCUAUAGUGCUAUAGCGAAUCUGUGGGGUACCUUUUGGCUUGAGGGAUUCUAGAAGGCAGUCAGGUUGGGCCUUGGCCUCAGCUCAUCUCUCCAUGCAGGAGAUGCAGGCGAAGCAGGCAGCACGGGGUGGGGGACACGGUUAGGGAUUUCCCAUAGUGCUGGAAGUGAGGGAUGGUUCCCCAGGAGGCUGCUUACAAGCAGAUCUUUGGAUAUGGGGUGGGGUCAGGUCUGGCUGCUGAGGUCAUCUUGCUGAUGAAGCACCUGGCAGAUACGCUGAGAGACCCUUGGAACCUGGCUGUGAAGGAAUGCCAGCCCUGUGUUCAUUUCCAAAGCAUUAAAAAUUAAACUUCCUGGUCUUAAUAUCUAUUUUUAAAUCAUGUCAGAGCCAGCAAUUGCUGUCAAUCAGGAAGGCCCAAGGAGGAGGAGGAGGAGGAGGAGGGGAGAGUUAGAAAAAUCCCCAGUUGAAAUAGUAAGAGCUCUGGAAGCCCCAGUCCUACCCAGCCCAGCCAGGCCUGGCCCCAGCAAACCUAGCAAACACCAGCCGGCCUCUACCUCCGAGUAACACUCUGGCUGCUCUUACCUCCUGGGCUUGGCUGCCCUUGGCUGAACUUGGCAGCAGGCUUUCUAUGGCUUAGUAGGGUAUUGGGUCCCAGUUGGGUCCAUUCACUCACUCCACAACUAUUUGCUGAAUGCCCGAUCCAUGCACAGGAGCCUCCAGUUGGUAAGGCUAAGGCAGAUCAGUUUUCUUAGGCCAGGAAGUCAUGGAAUCAAGAGGUCAUCUGUCCUGUCCUGUGUGCAGCACUUGAACCCAGGGCUGCCAAGGGUGGGAACUGUGUAGGUGGGGUCUGCCUGCCUCCCCAGCACAUUAGGGUGGGCAGCUACAGGUCUGGACCCAGCAUCCUGGCUUGCCUUGGCCUUUCCUCUCCCUGCCCCCCUCACGGCUAUACUCUUAAUUCCCAUUCUCUGAAACGUUCCUCCUAUCAGAAAGAAAAAGAAUUUACAAAGAGCUCCAGGCUUCCCUCCUUUCUCCUUAGUUUGUAAAAUACAAUCAGCAAAACAUGUGGAUUCCCUGUUUUCUUCUAUUGAAAGGACAAACAGAUGCCCUGUGGCCUGGGAGCAUGCAUUCAUUGAGUACUUGCCGUAAACCACCCUGUUGAGCUGCUCAGAGUUCCAUGGAGUCAGACACACAUAGGAAGAUAGCAGGCACUCAACGGAGAGACUUAACUCCACCAAGUACUGCUUAGUAGAGACCAGCUACACAGAUAACAAAGCAAGUUGCCCUGAGAUUUUGAGGGAGCUAGGUGACCAGGUGAGACUGGGAUCCAGGCAAGGGAGAAGACGGUGAUAGACUCUUCACUGAGUUUCUUCUUUUUUUUUUUUUUUUUUUUUUCUGAUGGUGGCCACCAUGACAGGUCUUGCUGUGUCACUUGGCUGCAAGCUGUCGUGGUGGUGGUGAGUAAUCUGGCUUUGGAGCCAUGCUCCUUUUUUUCCCUCCCUGAGCUGGUCCUCCCCUCUCCCAGCUGGUCCCCCCUCCCCCACUGAGAUGUGCCUGCUCCUUUGGUUCCAAUGAGGAAGCUUUGAAGCUAGGCUAAACCCAUCGGGCAGAGUUAAGUCUUCUGAGCCAGCUUUGUCCCUGCUCACAUUUGAAAGCUAAUCUGCCUGCAGAAGUGGUGGGGGCUCGGUGGGGGGCACUCUUGGCAGGAACAUUAAAAAUGGCGUGCCGACUCGACUCAGACUCGUGGGUGAGCUCUGCAGCUGGGGAAGGAUACCAGGUUGAGAUCUGCCUUCUAGGCCCUGCUCUUUGUCUGGAGAGCUCUAGACUUCAGAGGAGACCCAGAAUCCUGCUUCUGGGGGUCUGCUUUCCCUUCAGCUGGCUUUGAAGGCUGUCAGGAGAGCUGGAGUGGCCCUGAGUACACAAUGUGCAGUGUUUCUGCUUCAAGCUCGUGCUCUACCACUGGGAAUUUUCUGCAUCAGGGCCCUGCAGGGGGCGCUGUUUUGGUGGCUUGAGGGAAUGGAUGUCUGUCCCAGGAGAAGGCAGGCAGGGUUUCAGUUUUCAGGGACUUUGCAUCUGCUAUAGGGAAUCCUUGCAAGAAUGUAUUCAGGUUGACUAGGCAGCUGCCCAUACAGACAGGUUCUAGCUGUGCUUCCAUUACCUACGGAGAUAGUAAUGUAGUUCUCUAUUUUGAAAGAGAGAGAGAGACAGACAGACAGACACUGACUUAUUCUUGAGUGUGGAGGCCAGAGAUGGCGUUCAAAUGCCUUCCUCUUUUACACCAAUUUAUUUUUGAGACAGGGUCUUACCACUCAACCUGAAGUAUACUGUUCCGGUCGGACAGGUGGUACAGGGAGCCCCUGGGAUCCGUCUGUCUCUGCAACCCUAUCUCUGCAGUCAUGGGGGUGAGCCAGAACAUCUGGCUUUUUACACGGGCUUUCUGCCUCUGAACUUAGGACCUCGUGAGUCUGCAGCAAGCGUUUUCUGCACGGAGCCAUCCCCUAUUCCUUUAAACUUUCAAUGGAGUAGAGAGAAUUGUUCAGACUCAGGGUUUUCAACAGUUCCCCAUCAGUGAUAGAGUAUUUGUUUAGCAUGCAGAAGACCUUGGGUUUAAUCUUUAGCACCACAAAAAUAAAUAAAUAAAUAAAUAAAUAAAUAAAUAAAUAAAUAAAUAAAUAAAAUCCAGCGUGUGUUUGAUCCAUCUGUGUCUGUGAGUGUUGCCUCUUACCUUUUUGCUCAGUCCCUAGCAUGGAUACUUCAGUGUGGUCUCUCCUCUUUUGUGAACAGUCCUGCAUACGUCUCCUGUAGGAGUUUCUCUGGAGUGGCCACCACAGACCACUGUGAAGGCGAUUCAGCGUUAGGCAUUUCCAUACACUUCUCUUGGAGAAGUACCCUUGCAGAUAGAUACCUGGCCUUUCUGCCUUGCUGGCUGGAGUGUCCUUGUGGCACUGCAGGAGGAGAGCUGUUUCCAGGGCAGGUGCAUCCGUUGACAUUCCCAGUGGCUCUCAAAUGGUAAGGGGCAGGCGUGAGAUGCUGUGCUGCAGUGGCCUUACCUAGCAUCUCAGGUACCAAUACACAAACAUCUUUUUUACGUGUUAAUUAGCCAUUCUUCCGUGUCAGGUCUACUUUUCUAUUGAUUUGGGUUUGUUUGGUUUUUUUUUUUUUCUUUUUUUUGGUUGUUGUUAUUUUUUAGUUUCUGGUUUUGUGUCCUAGUUUGUGGCAGUUGAAUGCAUCACCAACAUUGUUUAUAGCUUCCAGUUUCAAGUUUUGUUUGUUUUUCUUUUCUUUGCAGAUUCUAAACCAAAACACAACUUUGCUGGUUUCUUCUUUUUGGACUUUUUCUGUUAUUUCAUGGUGCCCUUACAUCGUAAUAAUUGUUCCAUGCCUGCUCUAACAUGGGUUCUCAGGAGCUGUUGACAUAAGUGAGGAGGGGCUUUUAUAUUCCUCAAAGUUUUUAUUCAUGUGUUUGAGUUCUGAACACAUCUGGAAUUACUAUUCAUGUUUGACACAGGACAGAACUCUGAUCUUUUUCCUCCUGUGUAUUCUAGCUUCAUUGAUUAGGUAUCUUCCCUCCAUAGAUACAGGAUACUACCUAGGCUUUCAUAUGUGACAGGGUACCGCAACUCUGUAAGUCUCCAUGGCAAGGCACACUUCUUGUUUUUCAAGAGAGUUUGGCUCUUUUUUGGCUCCUUGUUCUUCUGCAUAGAUGCUGGAAUCAGUUUAAGUGGUUUUUAACCUGAAAUCAGUCAGUACCCUUUCCCACACUAUUGGCAUUUUAAUUAGCUGGUCUUUAAUUGAGUGUGUUUAUCAACUCAGGAGGAUUUCAUCUCUGUGUUUAUUUGUGAAUGUAAAUUAUGUAAAUUGUAUCCAAGUCUUUCAAUCCAUGAAUAGUUCAUCUCCCUUUACCCGCUAAAUCAUCUUUAAUGUCAGGGGUUGUUUUGUGAUAUUUGAAGGUCUUACCCACCAUUUGUUAAGCAAAGACUUCUGAACUUUUCUCCACUCUGCCUCCACCUCCGGGUUUGUCUACUCUACCUGUGCGGAGUACAUUUGGAAGUCAGGACCCACAGCUACCCCCUGGCACGGUGUGGUGAUGGGGAGCGGUGAUACCAGUCCCUGAUUGGGUAUCAGGUGGGGCAUCCCUGGCCGCCUCAUCUGCUCCAGCACUGAUGGGAAUACCCAGGGAUGUCUCAUUUUGCCUCUGCGGCGAUGGAGGUGUGAGGAGGGAGGAUUUUGCCUGGGCCACUAGGUUAAGUAGUGGUAGAGAUGGGCUAUGAACUCAGUCAGUAAAACCUUAAAGCCCACGUCCUUUCUUUGCCCUUGUCUGGGAACUCAUCCUGAUGCAGUUCCCUCCCCAGUCAGCUUCCAGUUGUGCUUUUCUUGGGUCUGUGCUGCACUGGGUAGUCCUGUAGUGACGGGCAGUUUGCACACAUGGUAUGGUUCAGUCGACAGUUUGCUCUCGCCUCCUCCCAGCCGCAGCUCCAGGAAGUGGGACAGAAAAUACUCACAUGUGGUCUUUGGGGGCUUUUUUGGUGGUCCGUUGUAUGCGGUGUAAGCUUCACGAGACACUUUGUGCUUCUUCAUGAGAACAGUCAAGACAAAAAAGUACCGUUUUCCUGUCUCCCCACAGCACGACGACUGCACGUCACUACAGGCACCUUCCUCAGCGUGUGAAAGGGUGCAGCAGUUCACAGGCCCGGAAGGAGAGCUGAGCCAUAGGCCAUGGUGGGCUGGACCACGGCGGCCUUGGAUACCUGAGUAUCAGGUACUGAUGGGCCGACCCCUGGCACUGGAUAGGUGUGUUCUUAUUGUGUUUCCUUGUCAGGAGUCAGCCUCCCAGGAGAGGGUCUGGUACGGCCGUGUGCUCAGCCCUGGCACUCGAGCAGAGUGCCUUGGUUGGACGAGACCUUCCACGAUGGGAUGAUGCUGAGUUCUCCAAUGGAGAUUGAUGGUAUGGACACCAAGAAACGGGUGAGGGCAGCUGGCCAGCCAAGCAACAGAUGCCAGCUGCAGCCAUUUACCUCUGAGUGCACGUGGCACUGGGCUGACAGGCCCUGUUCAUCCCAGAGAUCUGCUCUCUUACAGUCCUGCCCUGGGGCCCUUCAACAUGCCUCACAGUUGACCCUCUGCAGUCCUAGUGUGUGCUCAGUGAUGGGACAGUGAGUCCUGAUGGGUGCUGUAGCACAGCAAAGCCUGGGGACGAGAGGGGACAUGAGGCUUCAGUUUGCUGCCCUGAUCUCCCAGAGCUUAUACUUCAGUUGGGAGGACCCCAUCCAUCUUUAACUAAUUAGUCUGGAAGGUGGUGUGGCCCAUCUGAAAAAGCUGGUGCCUAUAAGUCUGCUAGGUAAAGCUGCCCCUCCUCCACAGAUCUCCAGAGUCAGAACCUCUGUUCCCUUCCUUCUUUGUGAGGCAGCAGGGUGUGGCUGGCCUGAGUCUUGUCUAAGUUCCCACAUGCUGCCCCGCACACAUAGGGGGUCCUCAUCACUGCAUGUAUUACUGCACAACCCAUGUGACUCCUUGCUUGCUCCAGCUUCCAGGAGGCUCGGUAGUUUCUGUGUUUUUAGUCAGGAUCAUCUUGCUCAUUUUCACAUCUUGAUGGCCCUUUGUAUCUGGAUCUCUAGAAAUCAUUUUUGGAAGUGAGAGCAAAGCUACCAGAGCUGCAGUUCGUGACCAGUGUCCAUGAGUUGAGAUCCUUUGGGGGGUCGAAUGACACUUUCACAGGGGACACAUAUCAAAUAUCCUGCAUAUCAAAUAUUUAUAUUACAAUUCAUAGCAGUAGCAAAAUAUAGUUAUGAAGUAGCAACAAACUAAUCUUAUGGUUGGGGCUCACCACAACAUGAGGAGGGGUGUUAAUGGGCUCAGCGUUAGCAAAGUUGAGAACUGCUGUACCAAAGGCUGGUGGUAGGACAGCCGGGAAGCCUGAAGUGUGAGUAAAGCCACUGGGGAACAGGGGUGGCUUGGGGUGGGGACAUAUGGUCCGAGCCUGGCAGACUUGUGGGGUUCAGCCCUGUGGAGGCAAGGGGAGGCAGCCUUCCGGGCUCAGUGGGAAGGGAAGUCUGAAGUCAGCAGGGUGAGACCAGAUGCCCUGAGUGUCACUUCUGUCUUGCUGCUGUCACAGAUACAUGAAUAAGGGGCCACUCAGAGGUGAAAGCAGGAGAGAAGGGCAUGUGGCCUGCACAGUCGCUGCACUCUUGCUUGUCGUGGAGGUCAGAGGUCAUGUCUGAGUACCAGCUGCUGCCCCUGCCCUCUGACAAGCACAGGCUUUGUGUAGGAGGUCUGCUCAGCAGAUGCUAAAGGGCAGGGAGGGAAGGCCUCCAGGGUCUGGAGGACCAAUCAGUGGAAAAUAGGAGGAGGCACUCGGGUGAGGGGACUGUGGGUGGGCAGGAACAGUGGGAUUUGUGGCACCAUGGGAUAGGUAGAAAAAUCAGGCCAGUGAGGAAGCCAGAGGAGGGUGAAAGCGGAGGUCGGGACGUUCUGUGUGUACAAGGAUGCUCAGAGUCAGGGGUUGGCUGGUUGGAGAAGACCCUUUCAGAUAAAGAUGACACUUGGGGUUGGCUCUGUUGCUGGGGUGUGAAGGGGACAGGACAGCAUGGUGACUGUCUGGGUGCUGGACAGGCAGGCCUGUUGUCAGAGGGCUUCUCGGGGGGUGCGCAGUGGUGGGCCUCGAGGCUCUAGUGCCUUUGGCUUGCCAUAGGAGGCCAGGUGCAUCCCGGAGCCCAGCUCUGCCCACUUUUUCUCCAGGGAAGCAGUUCGUGCUUGUGGCAGAAGCCCAUCGGACCCAAAUCAGAGUGACAGCUUGUCAAGCUGAUGAGCCCGAGCUCCACAGCAGCUCUGUGAUGUCCAAGCCAUUUAGGACACCCUGCCUGACUGGUCCCUGCUGCCUGGAGGGAGGCCUGUGUAUAGCUAGGAGGGUGGGGGAGGAAGGUAGAUAGAUGCCUUAGGAGAGGAGCAUAGCACACAAGGUGUUCCGUUUGUUACCAUUUAUGGCAGGCAUGAGAGACACUCACCCUCCUCUCCCCUCCCUUCUCCUCUCCCUCCCUCCCUUUCCUCCUCAGCCUACCCCCUCCGGCCCCCUGAGCCCCCCUUCCUCUCCCGGUCUCAGCCUCCUGCCGAGAGGAGGGGGGGGGGUCUAUGUGAAAAGUGCAUGUUUCCCAGAAGGUUGUGGAGGGUCUGAAUCAGAGCUGUGGGAGGAAUAUUGACAAGAUUCUCAGCCUUGCUGAUUCCUUUUCUCCUCUCCUAAAUGGCAACAGCGCUCAACCUGUUGGGGUGGGUGGGGCAGGGUGGGACUGGGCACCCGGCCAGCAGCCUGGGAGGUUUUGGUCCCCAGCCACUAACCAGUUGUUCCCUCCCCUCUGCUAGAAGAGAAGGGACUGUCUACAACAUGCAGCCAGGUAACUUGUGGGGAGGAGCCAGGGAUUGAGCCAGACACCUGUUUUCUUGUCCUCAGUAUGUUGCCAGCUAGCGGUCUGACCCAAGGUGAGCCGCUAUCUGGGCCUCAGUUUCCUGGAGUGGAAAGGACUAGAUUUGGCCACUCAAGGGUAGGGUCCUUGCCUCAGGCUCUCAUGUUCUGGACUUUUUAUGCCCUUGGUUCUUAUUUCACAGCAGCCUCAGCUGGGUCAUGGACCGGGGUAGUAGUAGGUCCUUCAUCCCUCACAUGUGGUAGAGCUGGAGCCCAGGGCAAGGGGACAGGCUGCUAGGCAGGUCCGUGACAUGACGUGUGCACAGGAUAACCCACUGCCUGAGUGCUGAGAAGCUGACCCAGAUUCUUGCUAUGCCAGGAGCUCACAGUGCAGGAGAACAGCUGCUCUGGUGCUGGCCUGGGUCAGAGACAGGAGCUCCUAGGCUCCAGCUAGACGCAUCCCCCAGGGCUUAGCAGAGAAAGAGAGAGAGAGAGAGAGAGAGAGAGAGAGAGAGAGAGAGAGAGAGAGAGAGUCCCUCUACCCCAGUUUCCCACACCAGAGUGGGAAGGAAAGGAAAUUUGUCUGUAAGAAAUGGGGACUCCACCUCACCACCGUGAGUGGGUUUUGCCCUGCCCCCAUGCCUGGGAGGGCUGUCACACCAAUGGAGCAGCUAAUGAGGGGGCGGGCUGCUUUAUUAAGCACCCUUACUAGGAGAGCCGCUCUUGUUUGACACGGGAACUGUGGCGGCUCCCUUCCUAUUGUUAGAAGCCGUAAUUGCAAUUGUUCUAAUUCCUCCCUCUAGCCGUCAUCAUUAGGAAGGGUUUUCUCUUCCUUCCCACUUUUCUCAAAUCCCUAAAUUAUAAGUGUCUGCUUUUCGUCCCUUGCACUGCCUGGCCUUCACCGGCCCUGCCUGCCCAAUGGCUUCCUAGCCUAGCCUUCUCUUCCCUCCUCUUCUAUAAUGAAAGGGCUUGUGCUCUCUCUCUCAGCUGCUACUCAGUUUCCCCAACAAACAAAACCCCCAGCAAACACAUGGCUCAAAGCCAGGCCUGUUCCAUAUGUGUGUGGCACAGCAUGCAGAUGGAGGUCAGAAGACAGCUUGCAAGAGUUUCCCCUCCCCGCCUCCCCAGUGUGGAUUCUAGGGAUUGGACUCAGGUCAUCAGCCUUGGUAGCAAGUGACUUCACCCGCUGACCCUUCUUGCAGGUUUGCAAAGGUUGCUUCUUGUCUGUCUUAAUCUCUCGGUGGAAGGAGAGAUCCCGUCACAACAGCUCAUCACCAUUCCGGCCUCUCUUGACUUUUUCAUAAGGAACAUGGCGUGUGCCUUAAGCAGAGGUGGGAUCACAGGGUUCCCCUCCAUCUUCGCCUUUGCUUCCCAGGGAGGAUCUGUGACUUCAGUCUCUUGUGUGUAAGAUGAAACCCAAACCUUAGUCCUUGCCUGCCCAACCUGGGAGAACUGUGGGAAGUUAUAUUGGAGUGAUGUUCCUGAAGGUUCUUUGAACUCCACAAAGGACUUUGCUAAUUAACUAAGGAUUGUGAUUUUGUGGUCUGGCCUCCCAUGUCAUGUCUGGCCUCACUUCUGAGGUGGGCACAGAGCUGACAGAGUUUGUUCCAUGGGGCAUUUCUCUACACAGCUAUCAGUGAAAGCCUGUGAUCGGCCGAGUUAUGAGUGUGACCCCUGUUGUUACUGUGUUCAGAGCUUGGCUGCUUGUCACUCAAAGGCCGGCCUUUGAGGCUGAUUGAUAAGGAGGCCUUCCAGUUUGUUUCAGGUGCUGUGAUAAGAGUCUGACCAGAAUCAUCUUGGGAAUUUAUUUGGCUUACGGUUCCAGGUCUCUGUCCAUUGUCGAGGGAAGUCAGGUCAGGAAUGAAACAGAGACCGUGUUACUUACUGGCUUAUGAUCGGCCAGCUUUCUUACACAGCCCCGCCCACCUCUCUAGGGAUGGCGCCGCCCACAGUGGGCUGGACCCUUCCACAUCAAUCAUCAAUUAAGACAACCUCUCACAGACAUGGUCAAAGGCCAGUCUGUUCUGGGCAAUCCCUCCCUUGAGGCUCCCUUUUCCCAGGUGACUCUAGAUUGUGUCAGGCUGGCAAUAAAAAAAACAAUCAGCAUAAAAGGAAUCUGGUUUAUUUAAGGACUGACAUCUUGGGAGAUGGUGGGGCUAUGACCUCAUUGGUCCAUCUCUGAGGUCUCAGGGUACCGAGCACCAAGAUAAACCAGCUGCAUUCAGAGCAAGGUAUCAACCAUAUAGGGUGUGUGUUCCUUUAUUUUUAUUUUGUUGGAACAUCAUAAUUUACCUUGACCUCCUACAGCAGGUCUCAUAUUUUCUGAAAACAGAUAUAUUACUUUUCUGCAAAUUCGAGCCUCGCGGCCGUUUGCAUGUUUUGUGUUGGUUGAUAAACAGAACUGCAGACUAAGGGAAAGCAUUACAAAGGCCACCAGAUGUUCCAGGUUCCGUAAAUCUAAAGAGAGAUUGUGUAGCAGUUAGCAACUUAAUCAGGUGAGAAUUCACUUUAGAAUUUCAGAAGCAAAGCAAAAGGGAGCCAAGUGAAAAGGGAGUUUGUCCUCCUGGUCACGCCCGUCAAAGGGUCAGCCACCAUUAAAGUGUGUUUGUGGGAGCCAUAGUGUUUGAUACCUCUGGGAGUCUCUUCCUUGCCCAUCACUUCCAGCUUCCCUAAGUACCGUCUUCUCUCUGAGGGGAGAGUGUGAGCCACAGAGGUGCAGAGCCUCCUUGCCUGGUUGAUGUACACAGGCAUGUUCCUCCUGGCUGAGGCUUUACUAGACAGCCAUGGGGGAAGCCCUGUGUGUUUCCAGGGCCUGGUCUCCAUUCCUUCCUAGACAGGGAAGUGACUUCAGUCAGUGGCCAGGGCCUUUCUGCCCCAACUGCAGCCCUAGGGCUGAUCAUCCAACCCUGAUGUCUGGUGCUUUGAUUGACAGGCGCUGGAGCAAAUUUGCUAGCUUAGGUUUAUCUGCCCUGAGGGGGAUACUGGAGCCAGGCACGUUUCUGCUUUAACCAUGUGAUGUGGCAGUAGGUUCUGUAAGCUGAAUUCGUUGGGAUUCUCACUUGCCCCUGUCACUGUGAAUCCCUUUUCUGUCCCUCAGAGACCAUCCACCCUGGGUGCUCAUCAGUCCAUUGAUAUUAAGAGAUAUUAAGUAAAAGUAAUUGUUGCUUCCUUUUAUUUUUGUUGUUAGAGUUGGCAUUCUGUUCUUGUGGCUGUCUUCUUUUUGGUUUGUUGAAUGAUUACUUUCUUGGUUGUUCUAGGGCGUGAUUUCCGUCCUUGUAUUGCUUCUUUUCUGUUAUUAUCCUUUGAAGGGCUGGAUUCGUGGAAAGAUAUUGUGUGAAUUUGUUUUUGUCGUGGAAUACUUUGGUUUCUCCAUCUAUGGUAAUUGAGAGUUUGGCCGGGUAUAGUAGCCUGGGCUGGCAUUUGUGUUCUCUUAGUGUCUGUAUAACAUCUGUCCAGGCUCUUCUGGCUUUCAUAGUCUCUGGUGAAAAGUCUGGUGUAAUUCUGAUAGGCCUUCCUUUAUAUGUUACUUGACCUUUCUCCCUUACUGCUUUUAAUAUUCUAUCUUUAUUUAGUGCAUUUGUUGUUCUGAUUAUUAUGUGUAGGGAGUCUUUAUGGAACCAUCGUUGUCUCAAAGGGUGGGAGAGCCUUUUUUGCUUCAGUCCUCCCCCAGUUAUGGGUUUCAGGGCUGCCAGUUCUCCUUACGGAAUCUCCUUAGGAUAAACAACUUUAUUUGGCUUUUGGGAAACUGAAUUACAUUUCCAUUUUCCAGGUCACAACACAACAGCAUCUGCUUGUCUAGGUGGAUGCUGCAGGGCCCAGCAUCACUGUGGUACUCACAGAAGCUCACUAAGGUAGUAAUGACAGGCUUCAGGCUUCUAGAACCAGCCAUGAAGGUUCCUAAGGGUUUAGCUGCCACCCCUCCCUUCUUUCCAAGAAAGGUCUCGAGGUUGGUGAGUGUUGUCAAAGAGUCCCACAGAUGGGAAUCUGUCCCCAGACCUUGGCCUUAGUUAGUCAUAGGUUCCCUUUGUGGAGGGCCUCGGAAGCUGCACUCUCUGAAUGGCCUCUGCCUUGUGCGGGGAAGGGCUGGCAAGAAAGGGGCCUGGCGUGCUGGGUGGAGACCCUCUCAGAGUAGCCUUACUGGUUUGUUAUUUGCUGUGUAUCCUUAUCUCUUUUUACCAUUCCUUAAAUGUUAGCAUUACUGUGUGGAUUAGUUAUUUUCUACUGCUCCCAAACCUCAGUGGCAUUCUCCCUCCAGCAAGGCCACACCUCCUAAGCCUACCCAAACCUGUUUUCUUCAUAAAGUCAGCCUACUUGAGGUAUUGUGUUACAGUAAUGGAAAAAGGGACUUAUGGGGUUCUUAAUCCUUUUAAACAUAUAUUUUUAAUUAUGAGUGUGCGUCUGCAUGUGGAUUUGGGUACACGAGUGCCAUGGAAACCACAGGCAUCAGGUCCCCUUGGAGCUGGAGUUACAGAGUUGUGAGCUGCCCAGGGUGGGUACCGAGAACUCAACUCGGGUCCUUUGUAAGAGCAGGCCCUCUUUGACCACUGACACAUUUCUCAGGCCCUGUUUGUUUAACUCUUACGAGCCUUGACUUUCUCAUCUGAAAAAUUGGAUGAUGCAGAUUGGUACUCUCUAGGAUCUCUGAGGAGUACCUGAAGUGCUGAGUGAAGAGGCCUGACUCAGUGGCACCUGGCGGAUGUGUUGGGUCCUGGGCUUUUCAGAUGAUAGGUGGCAUGGCCAGGCUCCCUGGCAGGACAGCAUGGGGAACAUACAUUCAGACUUUGUGUGGGUACCUGCUUUCUGCUUUUAGCCUCCACUUCCUCAGUUGGCCUUUCCCAUGGGUUUACUCUUGGGCAGGAAAGACUUGGAUGAGGGAUGGUCUGGGAGAUCAUGGCCUGUGACAAAGACACCAUGAUGAGUGGAAAAGAAAGGUCAAAUGUGGGGUGUUGUGUGCUUUUUUCUGUGGGCCUGUGUGUUUACGAGAGAUUGGGCCUUUCUUGUUGCGAUCUCUCAAGGAGACCCACGGUGAUCCACACUUCUGGGGCUCUGGGCAGGGUGAGUGAGACUGUGAAGGGCCCCAGCCUCUCUACCUGGCCUUCUAGGGUCAUCCUGUGGAAUGCUUGGCUCCCGCUCUGGCCUUGUCAGAGAUGGAGUAGAAGGCAAAGCAAGACUUGGGGACAGAAAGGAGGGAGGGGAAAGUCAGGAGUGCAAGGGACAAGGCCACAGGCUGAGCUCAUGGGGUGGGCACUGUGGCUGCCUCAGGUAGCUGGCAGUGGUGCCCGAGCCUGCCAGGUUGGUGCCUCGGGCCCCUUGCCUUCCCGCCUGUGGUGAUUAAGACAUCACCAGCUGCUGUGUUCACAGCUCUGUUGCCAAUAACAGAUGCAUCUGGCUGGAAUCUGGGUCAUUAAAAAAAUACCCUGAUAUUUCUCUUCCUCCUUCACCCUCCCCCGUCGUAAGUCCAGACCAUGGCCUGGAGCUGGAGCCCCCAGAAGAGGGAGGUCAGGAGGUGGAGGGAGCCUGGUGGGCCUGUUGGCUGUCAGGGCCACUCAGUCAAUCAGAUAGCUAUUCUUGCUGGAUGCCUGGUCGUUGCUGUGUCUGUGGCAUUGUGCAGUGAAGGCCUUAAUGAAUUGGGGUGUGCCAGGCUCUUCCCUCCUGACAUGGCUUAGGGAGGCUGGACACUGUGGUAUCUGAGACGGCAUCCAUGGGGAUGGGCAGGUGUGUAGCACAUUUGGCUCCCACCACCAAUGGCUGUGGUAGAGCGAGGGCACAGAGCCUCCUGAGAUUCCGUUUCCUCCUGUGAGCAGUGACGAUGGUGUGCAGCUUUCCUGUGGGCUGUGAGCGGCCAUGCGGGAAAUGUUCCAGCCUGGCACUUUACAAUGGGUAGCUGUUGCAUUUGUCAUUGUGAUGAGUUUGUCCCUGUUGAAUGUACCUUGUAAGGGAGCUGUUUGCAAUUGGCCACUGUGCCAUCUCCACUCAGCCACCAUAUUCAUUGUAUUGUGCUGUAGGUAUAUGUGUUGGUUGCUUAUCUGAGACCAGACAUGUGGAGAGGAUGCCACUUAGGGAAACUGAAUCAAUCUGAGCUGGCACUUUCUAAUGUCGUGGUCCUUUGAAGACUCCAGAGAUCUGCUUGUACUUUUUUCUCGGGGCCUUGGGGAUAAGCAGGGAGGAGUGGAAGGACGAUGGAUGGGCUGAUAAUGAAGGGAGUGGGUAAGUAUGAACACUGAAAGGGACUCAGCAGCCACCACCCGAGACACUUGUCUUCAUGGACCCUGCUCUAAGUGGGUUAGCCAUGCUGUCAGCCUUCCAUACCCCUCAUGACCUUAUUUCCCAUUUUGCACCAGCCUGAGAACAGAUUCAUCUAUCCAUCCAUCACUCACCCACUCACACACAGCCACACACACUGGUCCAUCCACCCACCCACCCACCCAUGCAUCUACCUAUCUGCCCAUCCAUCCAUCUAUCCAUCCAUCCAUCUAUCUAUCUAUCUACCCAUUCACCCACCCAUACAACCAUCUGCCCAUCCAUCCCCCAUCCAUCCAUCCAUCCAUUCACCCACCCAUUCAUGCAUCUACCCAUCUGCCCAUCCAUCCCCCACCUAUCUAUCCAUCCAUCGAUCCAUCCAUCUGCCCAUUUAUCCAUCUGCCCAUCCAUCCAUCCAUCCAUCCAUCCAUCCAUCCACCCACCCACCCAUCCAGUCACUUGUUCACUCCAGUCAUUCCUUAUAUACCUUCUUACAUUAGGAAAGAUAAAUCAAGCCUACAGCAGUCCUUAGCCUGUCACGGCUGCUCUGCCUUCGUACAGUCAGGAUGUUUUGUGUUGAAGGUACUAUUACAGAUAUCUGAACACUAAUCAAAGCUUUCCUCUUGACGUCAUAAGACUUGCUGUUCGAGGGUAAUUGAGCAAGAACACAUUGGGAAGGUGGUGAUGGCUGCCUGGGGUGCUCUGCUAUGGACACAUUGCUCCUGAGCCAGGCAGAGUUCUAUGAUGUCUUUUUCUGAAAAUUUCCCCAAAUAAACAUCUGUUGGACUUUGAAUGUGUUCAGGGGCAGUGCUGAGCUUAGCCUUGCCAGGACACAGCAGGGAGGCACAUAGCUCAGCAGCCUGGGAGAGGUGUAUGAGUGGUGAUCUCUACCUCCUAUGCACAGGGCUCUGUCCCAACUUGGUAAGGCCUGGUGGGUCCUGCAGCAUCCAGGGUGGAUGGGCACAGGUCCUGGGUGUCCAGAGUUGGGAGCAGCCACGGGCAGGUUGUCAGGCUGGAUCCUGACAGUAGCAGAGGACUGUGGGUACUUCCAGGGCAUUUACCAAUACAGACUCAGGCCCUGGACCUUCCCAGUGUCAGGCCAGUUGACCAUCCUGGCUUUGGGAAAAUGCUUCUAGAUGAGUGCACAGGGAUCCUGGCCCUUAACCCCAGUCUGUUCCUAAACUGAUAGCCUCUCUGGGGCUUGUGGCUACUGCGAGGUGCUGAUGGGACUGUGAUGGGAAGGCAGUGGGCACCUCCUGCUGGGUCCUGGCUCUUCCCAUGAGCAUGCCUGAGGCAAGGCCCAUCUCCAGUGGGUCCUUAGUAAGCAUGAGCCAGAGUCUGGGGCUGAAGCUGAGGUUCAGCAGAUCUGGCCUCCCCAAGUCCUUGUUUCUCCCAUGAUUUGGCUUUCUCCUUAAAUCUUACCUGGUGCAAGGACACUGGACUAGCUGAUCUCUCUUCACUGCCUCAAUGCAGGAUUUAUGCUUCAGGGAUGCUCAGGGUCUCAGUCACGGCUCUGGCCAUGUAGAUGUCCAUGGUGCCCAGACAGAGGGGUGGAAUGUGGGCAGGUUACAAGCUGCAGGGCCCGAUGCCCCGGAUGUCCUCCCGUGUCUAUUAACUCUCCAUUAACAUGCGGCAGUGGCGUUGCUGCUAACAGUUUGAUUUAUGUCACUGAAGGUUUUGCUUACAAAUUAGAAGCUGCUAUUGUGCUAAGUCGGCUUUCAAAUCGAUGCAGAGCAAUUGCAGUACAUGGGUAGCUGGGCGACAUUAACAUGAGGAGUGUGCUAUCAUCGUCAUCCUUGGGACAGAUAUGACCAGCUACAGUGAAACUCCACUCCGGACCAAGCUAAUCUGAACAGAGCCCAAGGAUGCCAGCCUUGAAUGGAGACUGUCCGGGAUGCUCCUGUCAGGAGCGAGAUGGGGAGCCGUCAUAUUGCAGCUGUGUGGAGAUACAGAGCAAGGACCUUAUCUGCUCUGGGGUCUGUUCUGUCCUGGUUCCUGAGCUUUGGGUUUUCACGUAGAUUGUUGUAUUCAGGCGUUGGUCCCAUAUCGGCAGCUGCAAGAGCCACCAUGUAGUACUGUGGUAGCCAGCCAGCCAUACCUGUGUGUCUUCCCACCUUCUAUGCCUUCCACCCAAUUACAGUACCUAGCAAGAGGCCCGUUAGCACUGGAGGGUUGAUCCAGCAAGGCAGUGACAGCAGCCAUAGCUUGUUAGAAUGAGUAGCCUAGGGGCUGAUGGUCACCAGACUUCCUGAUGGCUCCCAGUCCUCUCCACACGUUGGAGUCACUUGGUAGAUUUCAGACAAAAUGUGGAUGCUGGGGCCCAGUCUUUCGAUCUUCUGGUUUAAUUGGGGUGCAUGCGAGAAAGCCAGGGAACUUACAAGCUCCCCAGGGACUUGCCUGUAGCCAGGUUUCAGCUGCCUGAUCUGUUCCUGUUCUGGUAGCUAAUGAUCUCAGAAAAAAAAAAAAUCUCCCAAACGAUAGACAGAAAGUUCUUCCUUCUAUCUAACUGUAAUCUCUAACUUAUUUUUACUCUUGUUAGCUGGGAAGUGGGUAGCUGGCCUCUGUAUCUUUGUGUGUGGGUGUCAAGUAGCAAGGUCCUGGUCAGGGUAGCUCGUUUUCCUUGGGACUCCCAUCCGAGGACCUGUGAGGCUUUCUGUUGGGCACAGACUGAGUACUGUGCUCUGGUGCUAUGCUGAGCGUCAUCACCAGCUGCUGACAGUAGCCAGAGCUCUUGCAGCCUGGGGAAGGUCAGAGGUGAACCCAGCAGGAGCCAUGGAGUGUGUCCCUGUAUCUUCACAUGGGAGGGAGCGUCCAUCCAGAGGUUGAAGGAGAUGGAGAGAUGGGAGGCAGAGUUAGAACUCUGGGAUGAACAGAAGCUAAGUCCGAGGAAGCUGCAGGCAGACGCCCCUUGAAGCUGCCAGCACGCUCACACAGACAGGCAUGGCCAUGCUAGGAUGACUGUGUGAUGGGUUCGGGGAAUGACAGCUGUCGGGUCCGCUUUGACGUCAGCACCGGCCUCCGACAGGCUUCCCAGUUCCGUCAGCUUCGCUUCAGUGGUGUGUUUCCUGCCUGAGGAAGCAGGUCUGCCUUCUACACACCAGCCCAUCCUGGGGUGCGGGGUGCUGGAGGAGCGGAGCAGAGCCACUACCGAGGUUCCGAGGUAGAUGCUCAUCUCUGCGGCAGUCAAAACUUCAUUGUUCAUCACUUGAUUAAUUCACCAGUUUCUUCGCUGCCUUUGUGCCAAGUUCCAUGCUGGGUACAGAAGUACUCAGAGGGUCAUCGCCCCUGUGCCAGAGAACUCCUGUCACCCUUACGUGGUAGGCUACAGCUGUACUGGAAAGGAACAGAGGAGCCCACAGGAGGAUGUGCAGUCUCGAGCUGGGACCUCUGUGAUGCUUUUAAUCCAACAGAGAGGUGGGGGUGAAGGCUUAAGGCCAGGGAUGUGUUUUCUCUGCCCCCCUCCCCAUCAGCAUCUUAGCAUCUUCCAGGCCCACAGGAAGGUUGGCUGCUAAGGGGAUGGCAGCCGAGAGGGUGGGAGGAUUCCCUGUCCUAUGUGUGCACAUAGGAGGAUCCUGGUCCAUCAGGAUUCUGAGCCUCCCUUAGUGAUGAGCUCAGAGAGAUUAGGGACCUAGGGAGGCGGUGGCUCUGAGUGGAGCAGUGUGUGUGUGUGUGUGUGUGUGUGUGUGUGUGUGUGUGCGCGUGCGCGCGUGCAUGUGUGCAUGUGGUGGUCUGGGUGGGGGUAGUUUUCGGGUGGCUGCCAAGUGAGGCUCGUCCUGUGGGAUGUUGGCCCUUGGCCGCAUCCUCAAGGGAAGAGGAUGAACACAUCCCAUGUGUGUGACUGACUCAUUCCUGCUUGUUCCGGAGCUCAGAAGAACCGCCAAGCGGGCCCUCGCUGCUCUCCUCUCCUGUCCCUCCCCUCCCUUUCUCCUACUCCCUGUCCUUGGGAGCUAAGAGCUCAAAGACAGGGACCAGCAGUCGUCCCAAGGCUAAGAGACAGAGGAGAGAUUUUUUUUUUCUGUCUAAAUAGAUAAGACUGUCUGGUAAGAGUCUGUGACCAGGGCCAGUCCUUAGCUCAGUACCACCAGGCUGAACUCUCACUUUAGGUGCACAGAUGCCUCUCUGCUGGAAGCCGGGGCAGAGUUCUCUCCGCACCCUGCUGCAGACUGUGGUGCGCUGUACUGGGGCCUCUGUACUCGGGUAGUAAGCACCACAGUGGGCCAAUCUGAGUGAUUGUUUAGUACUGAAAAAUUAAAUGCAGGAGCUGAAGCCAACAGCAGUUUCCACUAACACAGGGAGACUCCGAGCCACAGAACAGCUUUACAAGUCAUCUGCCACACACGUGUCCCCGGCUGAAUGUGUCCCCCAAGGCAGUGCACAGUCUGAACUGAAUCCUGCUAGAAUUGGGGAGCUGCCUGGGCCGCCUGAGGAGGGCUGCCUCUCAGAGCCUGGGAUAGGCCAUCUGGAGCCUGGACCUGUAUGAUUUGUGUACACAGGCUUCAGCAACUCUGAAGUCUUACGUGUGAAGGGACAGAGCCUUGUGAGCAGGUAACUGCCAGAUUAGGAUGCUAUUUGCAUAGAGUGCCUGGGAGAACAGGCAGUUAAUGUCCUUGGCAGUGCUAGGGACCAGGGGGACCCUUGUGCAGAACCAGGCUGGUGUGCGCACAGCUUUUGCCUGCCUUCAGGCCUCUCCGCCCUCCCUCAUCCCUUGUUGUAGCUGGGCCAUAGCUGACCUGUGCAGGGCAAGGGACAGGGUGAUUGUUUGCAGCUGGGGCCAGAUACCCUUGGAAGGCUGGGGAAGAGGGGAGGGGGAGUUCCUCCAGGUUCCCUUUGGAGCCACCAGCAACCCUGGGGUACUUCCUGGUUUAGAAAACACCUUCAUCUCCAAGUCCCAUUUGAUCCCUUAAGAACAUGGCAAAGACGCAAAUAUUUAUUGAGGAAUUACUGUGAUCCAUCACAUAGCCUAUCCUAUAUAACACCCUCAAGUGCUGUGGGCACAGGGAUUAGUGAGUGGUGAGGCUGGGGAAUCACCUUGAACUUCCUGACUGCUUUAGCCCUUGAGCCCGGCUCUGAACUGCUUCAUUUGUGGGGCAGCCUUCUCCUGGCCUUGAACUUGGGACCCUGGGGAUCAGGGAGAACACCCAUAGGUGCUUCUGCUCAUGUUUUGGCUUCUCAGUUAGCUUUCUGCAGCAAAGGGUAUCUCCUGGAUACCCUUUGCUUUUUUUCCCCUUUGAUGGCCAGGCUUCCUCUCCCCUCCUCUGGCUGCAUGAUCUGGGUUCUCCUGGCUGGUAGCUUUCCCCAGGCCCUGCUUGUACAGCAACAGGGCCUGGGUCCAGAGGAGCUGGGCUGAGGUGCUUGGUGAGGCUCUCAGAGGUAGAACUCUGAGAUAUGUUCCUGUCAGGUGAACUCAGGGCUAGAGGAAGUUAGGCAGCAAGCAGGCCUGUAGGGAUCCCGCAUGGAUACAAGUGAAACCUCUGGCGGCCUCAGCUCACCUAGUAGGUACCUCUGGUCACAGGUGUUACCCCACUCAUUGCUAUGACAGAGCCAUCUCCAGGCCUACCACUGUGAGGCCAGCUACCCUGAGCUGGGUGAAUCUGCCUCUUGUGUCUGAGGAACAGCCAGGGCUUGGUCCCCGAGCUGGAGGCAAGGACAGAGCAGCGAUCUUCUGCCUUUUGGAACUCCUCCAUACCUGUUACUCUGCAUGCCUGUUUGGUCAUGGCUUGGCUACACGAGAAGCUAAGCACAGGUUGUGGGCAUCUCAGUUAUCUAAUACGAGGAUGGGUGGCUUUUUUUCUUUUUUCUUUUUUUUAAGGUCAGACUUUGCUGGUGAAAGCAGCUGAAACACUGUGGAUUCCUGAGGCUUGCUUCUGAUGACCAGCUUUUUCUUGCCCUGUAGCCAGUCUCCUUUUUAAAAAAAAAUCAGCUCUUCCUUCCUCCUCUUCCUCCUCCCCUCCUCUUCUUCCUCCUCUUCCUUCUCUUCCUCUUCCUCUUCCUCCUCUGCUUUUUCCUCUUCCUUUUCCUCUUCCUCCUCUGCUUCUUCCUCUUCCUCUUCCUCCUCUCCUCCUCCUCUGCUUCUUCCUCCUCCUCCUCUCCUUCCUCCUCCUCUCCUUCCUCCUCCUCUUCCUCCUCCUCCUCUUUUUCUUCCUCCUCCCUUCUCCUCCCUUCUCCCUUCUCCAACAGGUCCCAUCCCUUCAGGGACUUCCUUGUAUGCUCUGAAACAGAUUCCCAAGAGAACAUGAAGCCAUUAUCCCUGCAACCGAGGUUGUUCAUUGCCUGCUUCUCGGCCUUUUAGGUCUGUCCUUCUGGCAGGCAGAGCAACAUCGAGGCUCCUCAGUCUCUAGAGACUCCAUUUCCUCCCCAAGGGGCCCCUAGGAAAGAGCGAGGUAAUCGCCCCUCCCCUCCUGUCCUGCUCACUCUAGAACUUCUCUUCGUGGUAUAUUCAGCCCUUGUUCCUGAUCUUCAGCUUCCUCGGGAAGACUCCUGUUUCUUGGAGUGCUCAUUUGGUCCUUGGGUACUAUAGAAUCUCUCACAGAUUCAUCAGACUCCCAUUCUCUCUUUCUGGAGCCCCCCACCCCCCUUUUCUCCACGUUCCUCCUGCCUAGAGAAUCAGGGAAGAGCUAAGGAACUUGGCUAUGGGGGCUUGUGGAUGUGAAAGGCCCUGAGUGACCUACAUAAGCCUCCUGCCAGGGGAAUGAGGGAUGUUUCUAAUUGGGAACAUGGCUUAGUCAAGAGUGCGUGCCUGCAUGUGUAAAGAGUGUGAGUUUUUUUAAAAAUAAUUUUAAUUUCUCAUCAGAGAAUGCCGUGCAUUCCUUCCUGCUUUCCCCAGUGGAGCCUCUCAUCUCCUCAGAAGGCUGAGGAACAGCAGGUGGGACAGUGCAGAGUGCAGGAGAUAGAGCAGCUGGGAUUGGGGCGGGGGUGACCUUGGGCCAAGUCACAGCCACUUUCUGGGUCUCAGGAUUUCUAUCUAUGCGUUUGACCAGAAGAACUCUCCCCAGGCUGAGGAUUCUGGGUCCACUAUCCACUUCUAAUCCCAGAUAUGAUCCAAAAUUGGAGGAGGACUAUCAGUAAGAAUGUCUUUCCCAGGCUAGACCUAAUGCUGGCCUUGGCCCAGAUAAUCUUCGGCCUCAAGUCCAUGUUACCAGGGGGACAUGCCAGAGAGUAGCUAGCUACACACAUAUCACACAAAUACACACAUCACAGCUGCCUGCUUGUAUCCCUCCUCACCUACUCACCCAAAAGACUAAAGAAAUUAUUCUUUUGGAGUUGGGGUUUGAGCUAGUAAGGGCUGACCAGUGGGUACUCAUGUGAGUUAGCCAGCUCUAGUAUCUGCCAGGGUGGCAGAUACUCACUGGAGCUGGGAUAAUUCGCUCAGGGCAUGGCAGGCGGCGCCUUUAGAUGAUCUCCCUGCUCGGGUUUCUUGUUGGCACGUCCAGAGCCUUUUGCUUUUGGGGCUGUCCCGUUUCCAAGUUUCCUCCCACCAGUGCCUUUUCACUUGCAGUUGUGUGGUGGUGUGGGUGUCCUGGCCACUCUGUCCAGCUCCACACUCUGCCCACCUGCACGUCUGCAUUUUUCUUUCCGUGUGACUCCUUUGGGGUGAGGAUGGCAAACUCCUCCUGGAUGCCUUCGCUCCUUUGUGGAAUGGGGCCACGGCCAGGACCUGUCUGUUCAGGGCUACAGUUUCAGUGGCUCAGGGCGUUCACAACCAUGGGUCUGUUCUCUGUGUUGUCACUCUCAGGAAAUGUGUGGUUUUCUUUAGAAAUCCGCUCUCCCCUAAGUGCUAGCUUCCAGGAUGACAUUUUUAUUCUUACAAUGAGGUUUAUUUAUUUAUUUAUUUAAAAAAAAAUCCUACUAUCAAGCCAGUUUAUUUAUUUAUUUUUCACCAAGAGACAAGACAGAGGAAAUGAAGCAAUCGUUGUGUGUGUGCUUGGACUCACAUCUAGAUAGGUCUGGAUGGCACCAUCCCUGAGGACUGGAAGCCGCUCUCCUGCCCUGACGCUUGUCCCUCUUCCCUAUUUUCUGCUGCUCCACUGGGGGCGAGGGGUGGGAGGGGGUGAGGCCAUGGGAACUCCUGAACUAUCAGAAAAUCUAAAAAAAAAAAAAAAAAUUUAAGCGAGCUAGGAUGGGAACGCUGGCCCCAGGCCCUAGAAUCACUGGCCAAGCUAGUCACCUCUUCUCCAGCUCCAUUACCUGUUGUUCUUCUGAGGGUUUUUAAGCAGCCAUCAGCAGAGCUUCAGCUCUCCAGCUGCCAUGGCCACGUUAAAUCAGGAGGCACAGUAAGUUACCAAGGGCUGUUUGCUAGGCACAGAAGAGUAUGGUUGGGUUGGGAGAGGUGCUAGAGGAACCGCUGUGGAAUUUGCCACCCACCAGAACUAAUUACCACCCAUCUGCCUUAUGCCUGGCUCAUCCCAUGGCCUCUCCCGGUAGAGGGAUCUCUCUCUUGAUGACAUUUUUUUUUUUUUUUUGCCUUAUUUUGGUAAUGUAACCACUCAUGCGUAUCCAUGAACAAUACAUCCUGCAGUUUGACUUGGCUUCUGCACCGAAUAAAACGGCAAGAAGGCACACACAGCCCUUUGUACCGUUAUCUCUUUUUCUUGUAGCUGUGACAAAACGUGUGAUGGAAGAAACUUAAGCGGGGGUUUCUCUUGGCUCACAAUCCAUCAGGGCGGAGAUGGCAUGUUGCAGGAGGGGGUGUGGCCAUGGUGGCAAGAGCAGGAGGCAGCUGCUUGCUGGCAUCCCAGCGAGUCACAAAGCAGAGAAGGGACAGGAAGAGGGGCUGAGCUAGAAAGGUCCACCCGAGGACAACUCAUUUCCUCUGUGUCUCAUUUGUGCUUCUGGAGUUUCUCAGUUUCAUCCUCCUGAAGGUGCUGUCACUUCCUGAGACAGUGUCACCAGUUGGAGUUCAGGGAUUCAGAGCAUAUGAAGGGGGCGGGGGGGGGGAGCAUCCAAGAUGGCUGUUCUUGGUUGUCAACUUGACUAUAUCUGGAAUUAACUAAAUUCCAAGCAACCAGGCACACCUGUGAGGGACGUUCUCUUCUUUAAAUCAUUUGAAGUAGGAAGACCCACUUUUAAUCCCGAUCUUUGACGAUGAGAUGAUCCACAUUUAGCUGGAGGCACAUCUGAUGGUAGCCUACAUAAAGAACCCAGAAGAAGGAAGCUUGCUCUCUUUGCCUGCUUGCUCUCCCUCUCUCUCGCUGGCAAGUCCAUUCCUUCACUGGCAUUAAUGCCUACUUCAUUCUGAAACACACUAAAGGCCAGCUGAGACAUCCAGCCUUGUGGAUGGAACAACUACUGGAUUCUGGGACCUUCCAUUGGUGGACAGCCGCGCGCGCGCACACACACACACACACACACACACACACACACAUUCACACACACACUCAGUUCUGUUCCUGUAGACAACCCUGACUAAUACUAAUACCCCAUCUUACAUCUAAACUGUAGCACUGAGGGUUACUCUGUUUCUGGCUCCUCUGUACAGGGCUCGGGUUUAUAGCUGACUUCGUUUCCCUUUUGUGUGGUCUUUCACUCUGUGCUCAUUGUUUUCAACUCUUCUCAUGAGGAGAGUUGUCAUGAGGAUCUUGGCUGUCUCUUUUGUUCUGGGCACAUGAAUGAAAAUUUCUCUAUGAUGUAAACCCAGUAGUAAAGUUGCCAGCUUUUGGGUAUGAGAAGUUUUAUCCUUUGAAAUAUAUCAUCUCUCAAAUAUAUUAAAGAGCUGUCUAGGCCAGGCUGACUGAGGUAUGUCUGGAGAGGUCCUGGCCUGGGAGGUGGCCGUGUCUCUGUAGGGCAUAGGUCUAAGGCUGAGUAGAAAGAGCUGUGUCCUCUCAGUACCCUGCUCCGGGCCUGGAGCACUCUCAACAGUAGCAGGAUGAACAGGGUGUUGUGAGCACGUGUUGGCUGGGGGGUCUGCUUUUCAAUCCUGCAGUAAUAGCUGACGGUCUCAGAAAGGAAAACAUAUUUCCACUGAGAGUGGGGAAGGAGGGACCAGGCAGGCUUUGCAUCAGCUGUGGAUGCUGAGAAAGGAGUUGGUGUAAUUCCUUUUGCUGCCACCCCAGGUUUAAGUCCUGGCCACCCUUCUGCAUCUAGCUUAAAUCCCAGUUGGAAUGAAAUCCUUCCUGUGUGCCACCCACGGCCACCUUGUCAUUCUGCGAGCUUCUCAGACGCGCUAAUGUCUGUAUUGAUGAGCUACCCGCUUCCUGCCUGAGCGCGUGCUCUUCUUCCAGAUGUGGGUCCCCUCCCCGCAGCCAGGCCACUAGCCUCUUUGCUUCCCACUCUUGUGGACCGCUCCUGCCCCCAUCCCACAGUGCCUGGCGCAGAGACAGCACUCAACAGAUGCUAUCACGAGUUGACUGAGUGCACCUGCUCUAGGACUGGGCGACGGCUUCUUUAUCAUCCCUCCCAUUCCUUGCCUUGUGCUAACUCCGAAAAGAACACUCUAAGGCCCCUAUUACCGGGAGGCUCAGCUAUCUUUUAUAGAAAAGCUUUUAGCUGCCUGUGCAGCCGAGGGGCAAAUUGGAGGGUGGUCUGAGCAAAGCGUGGAGCAGUUGUCAUGGCUCUCCAUGUUCACUCUGGGAUGAGCCGGUCCCCACUUGUAGCAUUUUGCUGGGCAGCAUGGAACAUAGAGUCCUGGCAGCUUGGUGAGAAGAGAAAAAAACCUCCUCAGCCUCCCAGGCUUUCCCACAUCGAAGAAGGUGGUGGUGGAUACCAAACCAGAGAGUCAGGGGCUGUCACAGCGUAGGAGUGAGUGGGGUGAAGUUAGACAGUGAACUGAGCACAAAGGUGCUGUGACUGCAGGGCCUGGAUCGAGGACCCAGGCGUGUGUGGCAUCCCCUGCUGCUGAUGCCCAGGGUCUUCUCAGUCUCCUCAUAUGUGCAAAGCACAUUCUUACCCUGAAGCCACAGAUCCUGCCUGAGAAGGUUCCUAAUUCCUGGGAGCCUGGUUCCUAAAGCCAGGGACUCAGUGGGUCAGUACAGAUGUGCACAGGAUGGCUAUAGUCUGUUUUCUCUCUCUGGGUGCCCUUGAGAAGUACCCGGAGUCAUGGUGCUGGCUGCUCACACAAAAGAAGGGACAGCUCCAGGGCAGCAGUCCAGUGAGGUACAGCAUGCUGAGGCCAGUCUGCCCUCCUAGUUCUCCAGUAUGGGGAGUAGACACUGACUCUGAGCCCUGCUGGGGCUGGUGGCAUGCUUGGCUGCUCCUUUUGCAAGCUGCUGUGUGAAGAACAGCAUACUUCGAAUCUGUAAGACCUGCCCUUGAGACCCCCGCCCCUGCCUGGCUCAUGAACAGCCGCUCUGCAACUCUGAACCAGCUGCUGGGCCUCAUCCUGCUGGCUGGUGCAAAGAAGACUGUACACACAUCUUCAGGGAUGGCUGCCAGGAUAUAGCGCUAGUUACCAUGUAUGGAGUUUUUCUGAGAGAGCCAGACACUUCAUGUACCGUUUCAGCAGUGAACCUGCAGAAGGGUGACAGGCUUGCCCUUUACCACUGGGGCAGAUGAUACCCAGGGUUGUUACAUACCGUGUCGCAGGCUGCAGGGUUGGUGGGUCACAGCCCCGUCCAUUCCUGUAUCUGCUUCUGAGGUUUCAGCUUGUCCCUGCCACCAUGUUUAUUUCCCAGCAAAUAGGAUAAUCUGCAAAGAGCCUCUGGCCUGUAGUUGGCUGGGCCUGAAACUUUUACAGCCUGUGAUAUUCACUGAGAGAUUAGCUGGGCCUUGCUGGGGCCUGGGGAAAAUGGGUGCGAAGAUAGAAAAGAUAGGCAGUCCCGAUCUAUGUUCCCAGACAUUGUAGGAACUCCUCUGUGGGUCCAGGCUUUGACGUGUGAUAGGUUGAUGGCCCUUUUUCAGGCUCCACAGUAGGCAGAGGGAGGGGACACACUGGAGUUGGGAUCAUGCUACAGAUACCUGAGAGCUUCCCAUACUUGACUCCUGCCCUGGAAGCCAUUAUUGGGUGGUCUGUAGGUACCUUGUGCUAGAGAGAACUUUUGAGACAUGCCAUAGGGAUGUGACCCUGCUCCUGGGAGCAUCAGGUUGUCAGAGAAACAUGGACACAGGCAUGGGAUGACAAGGAGGAGGGAGCAGCUAAGACAGUGACAGUGCAUGGGGUGGGGGUGGGGCUUGUGACAAUCUGGUCUGGUCACAAGAGAGAAGACGCUGUGGCAGAAGGUGUCAGGAGAGAGGACUCAUCUUGAAUGCGGGCCAAGGGCUCAUUGGUCAGCACUGUCCUCUCUGUCACACCCUUAAUGGAUCCUGUGUGCCAGCUCUCAUGGAGGGUCAAUGACGCAGGUGGCCCUGGGACUUUACUUCUGACAGUUUCCAAUCAUAAGUAGAUAACCAUGUAUGUGACUUGGAACUUACAUGGCCAGAGAAGAUUCUAGGGUGUACACCCCGACUCCUCCUAAUUAUACCAGAGCUCUUCUGGCCAGAGAGACCACAGAUAUGGCUCUGUUACAUCCCCUAUCCCCCACCCCAAUGACUCUUAGGCUAUCAAAGCCACGUGGCCGUGUCCCAGGAGACAAGCUCCCGCAGAAGGAGCUCACACCCUUAUCCCUCUGUUUUUGCUGUGAUCACAGCCCGUGGCCGGGUGGGGCUCCUGUGCAGAGCCUCUUUGAGCUCUCAGGAGCAGAGGGAAGACCGAUGGCAUAGAGUUUCAGUUUUGGGGGGUACCUUCUUUAUGCAUGGAAAGGGCAGGGCCCACAUGUCCCCCUCCAAAGCCAGAGGUGGGCGUGUGAAUGUGCACAGUCCCUCGGGCCACAGCCAGCUGCUGCCUCAAGCAGAAGGGCCUCCCAGCACCAUCUGCAGACCAUUCCACUGGUAUGAAUUUUGCAAACAACCUUCUUAAUCAUGUUUAUGGACUCGGCGUACAUUUGUCGCAGGUUGAGUUUUCUGCGAUGAUGCAGAGGCUCGGCAGUGAAAGUCAGCAGGUUGAGUUUUUCCAUCUCAGCCUCCUGGUGUGGCCUUCCGCUGCCUGCUCUCUUCCUAACUGUGUUCAAGAGGACAACUAGCUGGCCCUUCAUUUGUGCCUGCUGCUCAAGAGUUUACAAAGAGCUUUUGUGUCCCCCACAGAGCAGAGGGGGCUUCGCUGUUCUACAGGUAAACAGAAGAGGUUGAGGAAACAGCAGGCUGCCAGGGUGGUUAGAAGCAGCUCAACUGAGCCUUGAUCCCUGGUCCUGGACUGUCUCCUUUUUGUUCUCAGUCCUCAGGGCUCUUAUAGCCACUCAGUCUCUUGCUGUCAUCUCCCACCCCAUCCUGGGGACACAUGCAAGCAGUCUGCAGCUGCUGGGGCAAGCCUGCUUGUGCUGAAUAGUGGUUUGUGGCUUUAGUUUGUUCCCACAGUGUCUUCCCCAAAUGUCAUUGAGUUAGCAGGGCUGGCUCCUUCUCUAUUGCCAGCUAGGAAAGAUGAAGCCCUUAGGGUGCCUUGUCCACCCUCCCAUGUCUCAUGCAGAAUCCUGAUUGUGGGUCAGAACCCCUAAGGCAGUCCCAUGGCCAUGAGCUGGAGUCAGAAGGCACCUAGAUAUAUGAUUGUAAGCGGCAAAAACAGGACAGAAAUCAGGUACUGGCAAUUUUUUUUCUUUCAUGUGUGGGUUUUGGACAUGAAUGUGGAUAUGAAACAUUAAUGCAAGUUGGAAUGUCUCAGUGAGCAAGGUUUUCAGCAGUUUAGUAACUUCAUAACAAUUAUAAAUAAAUACUAAAAAAGGGGCAGGGCAUAAAUGGCUUGGGGUAGGAGGAUGACAAGUUCAAAACCAGCCGGGACAACUUAAUGAGAUUAGCAUAUACAGAUAAAAAGGGGGUCACGGGGUCAUCUCAGUGGUUGAGUGCUCACCUAGCACACGUGAAGACCCAGGGUCAAUUCUCAGUGGUACAUAGAGAGAGAAUGGGUGAAGAAAAGAUUGUCAGAUCCCAGGCCUGGAGGGGCUGGAGGAGGGCACUUUGGGAGAAGCCAGCAGAGCCUGGAAAUGAGUUUUGUCUUGUGUGUGUGUGUGUGUGUGUGUGUGUGUGUGUGUGUGUGUGUGUAUGAAUGAGAGAAAAGGCCUGCCUCUGGGCGGGGGUCUGGACAAGUGCACACAGGCCUGGCAUGCUGCCUCUGUGAGAGACCGGGCUAGGGGAUGGCUGGCUGCCUACCCUCCUGGCUUUAACUUUACUCCUCAUUAGCACCAGCCUUCUGAAGUGGGCAUUCCCAUCUCCCCAGCCCACUGGCACUUGCUGAACUUCAUUUCAUCUGCGAGAGGCAGAGGUUAGCUGUGUAGGUCAGCACAGGCAGCAUAUAGUGUGGCCAAACCCCAGGGGUACCGAGUACCAUCCUGCUCGGAACUUGGCCUUCUUGGAGGGGCAUUUGGGUGGUAAGGAUUUGGGAGUCACACCAGGGCUGGGCUGGAGAGUGGGAAGUAGGGGAGGUCCCCAGAUCAGAGUUCAAGAGAAAACAUGGAGCACAUGAGCCUGAGACACCAACUUGCUCAGCACACCUGUCCGUCCUGUUAGCUUUUCACUGAAGAAAUUCAAAACAUGAACCAAAGCAGAGAGAAGGCUGUUACAGAGUGUGUGACCACUGUGCAGUGUUUCCAUCUGCUCCAUCCAUUACGCCCUCUCCUCCUGGCCCCCGUUUUCCCCAUGAAGGACUGUUAAGGGGCUUCGCACUGUCCUUUCCCCUGUACUGACGUUCAGGCCCUGAAGGGACACAUUUGGAGAUAGGAGUAGACUCCCAUGGUCAUGGGGAGGUCAGAUCUGCAGGGAAUCACAGAGCAGAACUACAAGUCUCCAUCAGCAGUGGCAUGUGCUUGUUUUGUGUCAUGGGUGGUCCCAAGUAUCUCAUGUGCCUUUAUCUUACUAGUGCUCAGGACGGUCCAGGGAGAGCAAUUUUGGCCUUAUUCCCUCCCAUUUAUGGGUAUGUGGAAUGAAGGCUCAGAGACACCAGGGAAUGCAUCUAAGCUCACAUAGCUGGAUAAUAAGGAAACCAAAGACUGAACCCUGGUCUCAGCCCUGGUCUUUUCUCCAUCACUUUUAGGGAUGUUCUGAUAGACUAUGCAUUAGGCUUGUUUGCUCCCUGGACCCACUUGUAGCCUUUGGGAGCCCGAGGGUCCCAGUUGGGAGCAGCUCUUCCUUUGAUCAUUAGAGGCUUGCUUUCUUGCUUGAAGUAUGUGUUCACAGUUAGUGAUUUCUGGUUUUCUCUUAUGGGGGUGGUGGUGCAACUUUCCUCUCUUGCCAAGGUCACGGCCUCUUCCUUGCUCUUGCUAAGGGGGUGGUAACAUCUUUUGCUACCUGCUAAAGUGGGCCAGGUGGGCUUACCUCAUACCUAAGGACUUUUGGGGUGGGGCUUUUUGCCUGGUGGGAGGCAGAGUGGGAUUGGAGACUGAGGGUAGUUACCCUGCCGUAAGAAAGAGUUACGAGUGGGGCUACAGAGUCUAGGAUCUCCUGUGGCUGCCCUGACCUUUGCCACCUUGCUUUCCACUUUCUCCCUGGUGGCUACCUGAGCCUUCCUGCCUCUCUCUGUCCCUCAGUAGUACUGCAUGGCAUGGGCAUCUCCCCAGCAAAGGGGGUGGUACCCUGAGCCCCCCAUUAUCCUAAAAGCAGAGCCAGAGUCAGUGUUGGCUCUGGUCCUCUGCUGUCCUGUGGGGAGCUCAAAGGAGACCCUCCUCCUUGGGCAGAGGUCAUAGUGCGCAGAUCUGAGUGGUGUCUUUGGGACACAGGGAUGUCUCUUAGCAUCCUUACAUUGCAGCUCUGCAUAGCUGCCAUCUGGCUCCUACCUCAUCUCUCAGGAAGGGAGCUUUGCCAAGUACCUGCAGGUGUGUGGUCAUGUGCCAAGGGCCUCAUGGGUAUUGUCAUCACCUGAUUCCCACGGGGAUCUAGGAAGUAGUUAUCACUAUCAGUUUGUCUCACAGCCUCCAUAGCACAUGUUACCAGGGUAAAAAAAAAAAAAAAAAAAAAAA